UGGGGUUUCAAAGCGGUAUGUG
rnacentral:miRNA from 1 species